rnacentral:tRNA from 1 species
GCCGCUGUAGCUCAGUUGGAAGAGCAGCACGAGGUACGCCUGUGGACAGUCGACCGUUCGAGUCGGUCCAGCGGCU